CUUCAUUUCUCCUGUUCCCUUCGAGCAACACGGUUUCAAGCAGCUAUCCAGCCUGGUAAAUACAUGUAAUCCAUAUGGUAAGAGAUACCAAUGUGGUUAAUACGUAGAUCAUGUCAGGAACAUGUCCGUAUAACUUCGUGUUCCCAACAUUAUUGCGAGUAGAUCGAAAUUUUAGUGCAACACGUGUGCAAGGCUUAGAUGUGAUAAACACGUGCAAUGCUUGAUAUUGGACAGUUGAAUAUGUUCAACAUGCUUGAUAUUGCUUUUUUUUUUCUUCCUUUGAACAUGUGUUUGCAUGAUGACAAGUUGAAUCUUGAAUGCACUAUGUGAGUCGCAACUGAUUUAAUGAGUCUGAUUCAAUUCCUAAUAAAAGUAUCGCGGCAUACUCACGUUUUUCGAUACUCAUGCUUACCUUUCAUUUCAGAGUGCAACAUUCCAUCCGUUGUGGGGACCAAAAGAGCCCGUACAUGUUAUACCAAGAUGCUCAAAGGGGAGUAACUGAAAAAUCUCAGUACAAGUGCAUAUGUAUGCUAUAUGUUCAUUAAAGCUAUUGUAUAAUAUAUA